CUGCUGGUGAGACGAUGUGUUCACAGGAAACCUGAAGUAAAUCAAGAAGAAGUUGCAGAAGAUGCCAUCAAGUACAGUAACAUCAAAUUAGCAAAUUGUCAACAACAGCCAAGCAAAAGAAUCAGAGAGAGUGAUCCACCUGUAAUCUACUCGGCAGUGAGAACUGAAGACAUCAGUUAUGGACAAAUAACUAUCAGACCAAAGAGGACCAGAGACUUUAAACCAGAGCCAGACGUCGUCUACUCUUCACUGAAGUAGUUCACCAGUCCAACCACUGAUGUCCAGCUGCAGGUCUCUAACUGGUCCAUCCCAGCACCUCAGAUCAAUGUGUUCAAAAGAUUUUUUUUUCAUGUUUUAUGUAUUUUUAAUCACUUAAUUAGACUUUACCUAUAUUGACUGUACCUUUAAAAGUUUACCUUUUUUCAACAUAAACAGUCAGAAAAUACAUAUUAAAAUGUUUAAAAUAUUUUAAAUAAUUU